UACAGAGGGUGCGAGCGUUGUUCGGAAUCACUGGGCGUAAAGGGCGCGUAGGCGGCCGCUCAAGUCGGGGGUGAAAGCCUGUGGCUUAACCACAGAAUUGCCUUCGAUACUGUUUGGCUUGAGACCGGAAGAGGUUAGUGGAACUGCGAGUGUAGAGGUGAAAUUCGUAGAUAUUCGCAAGAACACCAGUGGCGAAGGCGGCUGACUGGUCCGGUUCUGACGCUGAGGCGCGAAAGCGUGGGGAGCAAACAGG
rnacentral:rRNA from 1 species